CCUCCUCACACACCCCUCCUAAGGAGUCACAAUGGUCUCGCCCGGGGGAGCCGCCGCCAAAGCCCAGCAGCUGAUCAGCUGGGAUCCGGGCGUGCCACUUUGUUCAGCCCCUCAAAGGAAGAGUACGGGGCUGUGGGCAAAGCCGAGAGCGUCGGGCUAUCACCCGGCGACGGGCCUCUGAGGUUUUCAUAUUCUUGGAACUUUUAAAAUCUGAGGCAAACUUACCUUCUCCCUGUCUGAAGAAGGGGAGCAGGUUUCUGAGUACCCUGGGGCACGUUGCCUCCCCCCAGACGCGAAUGAGUGGACAUGUUUGGUUUGGGGAGGGGACCUAUGGCCGAAUCAGUGAUGAAAAUUAACGUAAGCAAAGAAGUUCGAGCCACCAAAAAAUAAGCCUUUAGCGCUUCUUAUCUUUCAUCUUGAACUCAUUCUGAGUUCCAGCCAAUCGUGAGCAGAAGGCGAUUGUAGAUGGCAAAUGUCAACGCGAAGGAAACUUCCACCAUAUCUACUGAAGAGGUGACCCCUACAGCUGAGACCCUUGUUGGCGAACUUCGAAGAUCACUGCUACUUCCGGAAGGCUUCCUGGCUCUUAGAAAAGGCAGCUGUGUACCCCCGAUUCGGCAAGAAUACGAGACCCUCAGAGGGUAUUACCUAGAUUAAUUUUAUUGUCAAAUGUUAUUAUUUCUAUAUCUACCAUUAUGUCUGCAUGCUCUGUGGACUUGUUGACAUUUAUGUCGCUUCUUUUGGCCUCUAAAGAGCAAGGAUCACAUUUAGCUUAGCAUCUUCUAAAAGAUGCUGUGGAUGAUAAAGACAAAUGAUUGCAAAAAUCAAGUUCUUUACAGCCAAUGCACUUCCAAAAGUGAGUGCUGAUUUUCGUAAUAUUUAGUUUCGACUUUGUGCAUUUUCACAAGCCUUCAAUAAGUAGUUAUGUCAAAAGUCCAUUGAGUGGAUGAAGCCAUACAGCCAUACAGCUAGGUGCUUUCAUUGGACUCACAUUGCCCUUAAAUCUUCACUUAAACUAAAAUUGCCACAUUCUUAAAAGACUUACAGCUUUUGAGUUUAACAGACCAAGAUUAAGUGGGACUCUCUCUCUAUUGGCAUUUUGAUGGUCUUUUAUAUAUGGAAAAAGAAAACCUAAAACCAAAAGGAAAAUUUAAUAUAAACUGUGAUUGUCAUCUUACAAACUG